rnacentral:rRNA from 1 species
UACCAGCACCCCGAGUGGUCGGGACGUUUAUUGGGCCUAAAGCAUCCGUAGCCGGUUCUACAAGUCUUCCGUUAAAUCCACCUGCUUAACAGAUGGGCUGCGGAAGAUACUAUAGAGCUAGGAGGCGGGAGAGGCAAGCGGUACUCGAUGGGUAGGGGUAAAAUCCGUUGAUCCAUUGAAGACCACCAGUGGCGAAGGCGGCUUGCCAGAACGCGCUCGACGGUGAGGGAUGAAAGCUGGGGGGAGCAAACAGG